AACAAAACAUAUUUCAUUCAUGAGUGAAACAAAUGGCAUAAUGCCAAUACAUAAAUCAAGCAAUUAGCUUGUCAAAACAGCAAAUGGUUACCUAAUGGUUACCUAACACCACUAAGCAUUGAAACUUGAAGUAAUUAACUUGUACAUACAAGCAAAGCUGAAUAAACAGCUUAUCAAUCAGCAAAAUACAUCAAUCAUAAACCUAACUUAGUUCAAAAUGAACUAAGAUACAUUUCAUUAACUAAAAAUUACAAAAUGAAAAAAAUAAGCUUCUUUC
rnacentral:lncRNA from 1 species